rnacentral:rRNA from 1 species
AUGAGACUUCCCGGAGACUUGAUCUCCCUAAAGGGUCGUUCGAGACCAGGACGUUGAUAGGCUGGGUGUGGAAGUGCAGUAAUGCAUUAAGCUAACCAGUACUAAUUGCCCGUGCGGCUUGUCCCUAUAACCUUGGUUGGUUAUA